UGCGCAGGCGGUUUUGUAAGACAGAUGUGAAAUCCCCGGGCUUAACCUGGGAACUGCGUUUGUGACUGCAAGGCUAGAGUACGGCAGAGGGGGGUGGAAUUCCUGGUGUAGCAGUGAAAUGCGUAGAUAUCAGGAGGAACACCGAUGGCGAAGGCAGCCCCCUGGGCCUGUACUGACGCUCAUGCACGAAAGCGUGGGAGCAAACA
rnacentral:rRNA from 1 species